UACGGGGGGGGCAAGCGUUGUUCGGAAUUACUGGGCGUAAAGGGCGCGUAGGCGGUUCGCUAAGUUGAAUGUGAAAACUCUGGGCUUAACCCAGAGCCUGCAUUCAAUACUGGCGGGCUAGAGUUCUGGAGGGGAUAGCGGAAUUCCUGGUGUAGCGGUGAAAUGCGCAGAUAUCAGGAAGAACACCAAUGGCGAAAGCAGCUUUCUGGGACGGUACUGACGCUGAGACGCGAAAGCGUGGGGAGCGAACAGG
rnacentral:rRNA from 1 species